GACGAACGCUGGCGGCGUGCUUAACACAUGCAAGUCGAACGAGGUCCACUGCGUAGCAAUACAAGGGAAGACCUAGUGGCGAACGGGUGCGUAACACGUGAGGAACUUGUCCCGGUCUCUGGGAUAACAGUUGGAAACGACUGCUAAUACCGGAUGACGUCGGAAUCUCGCAUGGGAUACUGACGAAAGGGUUACUGGAUCGGGAGAGCCUCGCGGCCUAUCAGCUUGUUGGUGAGGUAACGGCUCACCAAGGCAUCGACGGGUAGCUGGUCUGAGAGGAUGAUCAGCCACACUGGGACUGAGACACGGCCCAGACUCCUACGGGAGGCAGCAGUGGGAAUCUUGCGCAAUGGCGAAAGCCUGACGCAGCAACGCCGCGUGCGGGAAGAAGGCCCUCGGGUUGUAAACCGCUUUCAGUAGGAACGAAAUGACGGUACCUGCAGAAGAAGGUGCGGCCAACGUACGUGCCAGCAGCCGCGGUAA
rnacentral:rRNA from 1 species